rnacentral:rRNA from 1 species
AAUGAACGCUGGCGGCGUGCUUAACACAUGCAAGUCGAACGGAAAGGCUCCUGCUUGCAGGGGUACUCGAGUGGCGAACGGGUGAGUAACACGUGGGUGAUCUGCCCUGCACUUCGGGAUAAGCCUGGGAAACUGGGUCUAAUACCGGAUAGGACGAUGGUUUGGAUGCCAUUGUGGAAAGUUUUUUCGGUGUGGGAUGAGCUCGCGGCCUAUCAGCUUGUUGGUGGGGUAAUGGCCUACCAAGGCGUCGACGGGUAGCCGGCCUGAGAGGGUGUACGGCCACAUUGGGACUGAGAUACGGCCCAGACUCCUACGGGAGGCAGCAGUGGGGAAUAUUGCACAAUGGGCGCAAGCCUGAUGCAGCGACGCCGCGUGGGGGAUGACGGCCUUCGGGUUGUAAACUCCUUUCGCUAGGGACGAAGCGCAAGUGACGGUACCUGGAGAAGAAGCACCGGCUAACUACGUG